GGUGAGGUGAUCGAGCGAGUGCGAGGCCGGCCAAGCGGAUCACGGCAAUGGAUCGAUCCCGGCCGUGGCGUCACCGGACACCGGGUGGUGUGACAGCGGAAGCAGCGGCGCGGCUGCUCGCUGGACGAGGCUUUAACCCCGCGCCGGCGGCGACGCGACGUGUGUCCGCACCGGUGGCUGCAGCCCGGCCGCUCGUUGGCACGAAGGUUCUCAGAUGCUGGUGGCGCGGGUACUGGUGCGGAGCAGAGAUUGGAGGACGAGCCCGGGAUACCCGAGCCGAACAAGAGCACACCCUAUAGAAACGGUUUCUAUAUCACAAGCUCG
rnacentral:lncRNA from 1 species